GGGAGGCAGCAGGUGGGGAAUAUUGCACAAUGGGCGCAAGCCUGAUUCAGCGACGCCGCGUGAGGGAUGACGGCCUUCGGGUUGUAAACCUCUUUCAGCACAGACGAAGCGCAAGUGACGGUAUGUGCAGAAGAAGGACCGGCCAACUACGUGCCAGCAGCCGCGGUAAU
rnacentral:rRNA from 1 species